UUCAGAUUGUAAGAAGUCUAAAUCUUCGAAAUAUCAAAUGGAUUUGUCUGGAUUCUGGUACACGUGUUGAUGUAUUUUCACCUGGAGGUGGAGUGCCCACAAAUUCCUGGUGCAACGUGGGUAUGAUUACCGAUACUACGCAAGAUUGUCGGGAUGAAUUAGAUUCUGCCGCUGUACGUGUUGCUAACAUUUUAUCGACAGAACCAGAAAAUGGUAUAUAAUAUAGAGAGAUCUAUUUACACCUAACAUUGCUACAUUAUAUAUUAUCAAGCAUAUUAAUCAUUAGGCGCUUUUUCUUUUAGUCAUAAAAGGAGUAGGAGGUGUCGGCCAAGGUGCACAAGUAGCUCUGAACUUUGCAAAGUGGAACGCCGUUGGAGAUCAUACGAUGAAUAUGCGACUUGUAAUAGGGAUAAACUCUUGGUGUGUAUAUACUCUUCUAGUACUCAUGUUAAUAUUUAAUUAGUUAUUAUAACUAAAGUUAGAUAUAACAUGUUGACUUCACCCAGGAGAAUACCUACCAACAGGAUAGAUUAUGAUUUUGGGGCUGCAAUUCGUUCUUCAUGGCAGUCAAUCCUACUUAUACGUGGAAAUCGUAUGUGUAUAAUGUUAAUUUAUAUAUUUGUUUUUCGCAAUAGAUAGACAAGGAUCAUGAGAUAUAUAUAAUAAUAAUAAUAACUCUUUGUGAUUGUUUUGUGUUGCAGUCGAACCGAGUAUUCCUUUAUACUUUGCAAAAGAAACUGCUGUCUCCCUUAUAGAUGAUGGAUUUGGAGAAGUUUCGUUUGUACAAUUCCGAAUGUAUAAACAUACAUUAACGAUUUUACUUUGCUUUGUUCUAC